GUGGCUGUAGCUCAAUUGGUAGAGCGCCGCUCUGUGGAAGCGGAGGUAGCGGGAUCGAAACCCGUCAGCCACC
rnacentral:tRNA from 1 species